AUCGCUUCUCGGCCUUUUGGCUAAGAUCAAGUGUAGUAUCUGUUCUUAUCAGUUUACUAUCUGAUACGCCCUCUAUCCGAGAACAACAUAUUAAAUGCAUUUUUGUAAGUAGGAUUUAGACCAAGAGCUUGCUUCAUCCAGUCCACGCAUCAUCCUGGUAUUGCUGUGCUUCCAGGAAUGGUGCCACCCCA